GAUGAGCGCUGGCGGCGUGCCUAAUACAUGCAAGUAGAACGCUGAAGGAGGAGCUUGCUCUUCUGGAUGAGUUGCGAACGGGUGAGUAACGCGUAGGUAACCUGCCUGGUAGCGGGGGAUAACUAUUGGAAACGAUAGCUAAUACCGCAUGACAACAGUUAUUGCAUGAUAACUGUUUAAAAGGGGCAACUGCUCCACUACCAGAUGGACCUGCGUUGUAUUAGCUAGUUGGUGAGGUAACGGCUCACCAAGGCGACGAUACAUAGCCGACCUGAGAGGGUGGACGGCCAAACUGGGACUGAGACACGGCCCAGGCCUCUUCGGGAAGGAGCCGUAGGGAAUCUUUGGCAAUGGGGGGAAGUCUUACCGAGGAACGCCGCGGGGGGGAAGGAGGGUUUCGGAUCGUAAAACUCUGUUGUAAGGGAAGAACGAGUGGGAGAGUGGAAAGUUCACGCUGUGACGGUAUCUUACCAGAAAGCGACGGCUAACUACGUG
rnacentral:rRNA from 1 species